CCGCCUGUUAUGUAGCCGGUUUUGUAAGCGAUUGCUAUCACACAAACAGGCGAGCUUUCCGGAUUCAAGGGUGUCCAGAUACUGACAAAUAGUCCCCAGCAGCGAACUCGCACACCGAGACACACGAACACUCACCGAGAUGGUGUGACUUCUCAUUAAAGCCUGCAGCUUCGUGGCCAGGAAAAUCGCGGCCUCCAUCGCAGAGAGGGAGCAGCCGGAGAAGCCCGAUUUUUCGUCAUGUAAGCCUGCGAAAGGUGAGAAACGGGAGGGGUCGGCGUCGGAGCAGGCAGCGGCGAUGUUGACCUCUGACCCAGACAACAGCCCCGCAUCUAGAGAGACAGCCGUGCAGAAGUGCGGUUCCUGAGGUUAAAGGUCACACUGGCUGUGGAGCUGGGAAAUGGGGGGAGAGUCGGACAUCUGUGCCAACCACAAAGUACUGACCUCUGUCUGACAACAUCUGGAUAACAUCAUAGGCUUGUAGCCCUGAUCUCAUGCGAGAAUUUUAAAAUCCCACAUUAAAAAUAAAAUAAUUUCCAUGACCCAACUAAACUUUUUAUGACCCAAAUAAGGCAUAACCACCGGAACUUUCUUACACCAUGUCGGACUGUGUCACUGAAGUGGCACAGCUCCACAUGGAGAAUAAACCAUAAUGGUCAUAUACGCUGAGGAAUAAUUUGGUCCCCAACUUCAGUUCCCCCCACUUUCUCCACAGCACAUUGUGUUUAUGCCCUUUGACCUCUGUGCUAUACAGCAGUGGGUGACGGUCUUGCUCACCAACUCCUCCCUGCAGGAGAUGGGCAGGCCUGAAGGAUUCUGCUGUAGCUGAAAGAAAAACAAUAAAGCCUUUUGUCUCACGG